GUGGGGAAUUUUGGACAAUGGGCGAAAGCCUGAUCCAGCAAUGCCGCGUGCAGGAUGAAGGCCUUCGGGUUGUAAACUGCUUUUGUACGGAACGAAAAAGCUUCUCCUAAUACGAGAGGCCCAUGACGGUACCGUAAGAAUAAGCACCGGCUAACUACGUGCCAGCAGCCGCGGUAAUACGUAGGGUGCGAGCGUUAAUCGGAAUUACUGGGCGUAAAGCGUGCGCAGGCGGUUAUGUAAGACAGAUGUGAAAUCCCCGGGCUCAACCUGGGAACUGCAUUUGUGACUGUAUAGCUAGAGUACGGCAGAGGGGGAUGGAAUUCCGCGUGUAGCAGUGAAAUGCGUAGAUAUGCGGAGGAACACCGAUGGCGAAGGCAAUCCCCUGGGCCUGUACUGACGCUCAUGCACGAAAGCGUGGGGAGCAAACAGGAUUAGAAACCCUAGUAGUCC
rnacentral:rRNA from 1 species